ACUGACCACACAGACAGUAAAGGGAUAAUAAUAAAAUUAUGAAAAAAUUACACCAAUAAACUAGACAACUUAGAGGAAAUGGUCAUAUUACUUAAAGAACAUUACUUAUCAGAACUAAGUCGAGGAAAACUAGAAAAUAUAUGAAUAGCCCUGUAUCUGUUAAAAGAAUUGAAUUUGUAUUUUGUCUUCUCUCAGAGAAAGAGCCAGACCCAAAGGGUUUUAUUAGUGUAUUAGUUAACAUACUUAGAGAAAACACUCUCUAACGUACUUUAUGAAGCAAGAAUAAACAUGGCUGUAAUUUUUUUUUAUUUUUAAAUUCUUUUGCCAUUCUUUUCUAUUUUACUCUUCUUCCCCCUCCUCAUUUCUUGAGUUCUUGAUUCUUUUUUAUGUGCUGGACUCUGAUCAUUGCAUUCCCUCCCUAAAAAUUGUUAGCUGUGCAGCUAAUCCUUCUACAGUCUCUUCUAGAAGUCCAAGAACUUUGGGGAAAAAUGAUCCCCAACCCUUGUUUAAUCUCCUUGCAUCUCUAUAUUUCUUAUCAGCUCUCUUAUCUUCAAGCAGAUUUUUAGAAGGCAUUUACACUUAUUUUAAUCUCAUUGGAAUGCCAGUCAAAAUUGCUUACUCUAUGGUUGGUGCUUUUAUGUUGAUUAAUUAUUAAAUAUGUAUGUAGUUUUCCCUUCUUCUUGUUCUUCUCUUUUAUUGAUUGAUAUUUAUAGGUGAAUUUAUUUCUGUAGACGAAUUAGUCAAUUGGGAAUGAGUGAUUGAUGUGUAAACUUUAUUCUGAAACUAAUGUGGUAGUGAGUUGUACUAACAGGUCCGUCUCAAACCACACACUAUAGUUUAUUGCUGUUUACUUUCUUUCACUCUUAUUAUGGUAUUUUGCUUCAUGUUCAUGAAGCCACUAAAUAUUCUAGGCAUGACCGUACUUAGAUUUUAUUUUAUUUUAUGCUUCUUGUUUGACAGAAUGGGAGGGUGCUAUUCCGUAGCUUGAGGAGUGUUAGGUUUCAUCUUUUCAAACUCCCCUUCUAUCAUCUUCAGAGAUGAUCUCUUCCAGGAAGCUUUCAACCAGGCAAUUGACAAGAAAGAGGGAUAGGAAAUGGAAACUUCUCAUUUGUAUUAUGAGUUGAUUGUUCUAUCUUCAUCCUGAGUAAUCUACCAGUAAACUUGUCUUUUAAAAAGUUGAUGUAUAUGACCGACCACAAUAAAACCAUAAUCCUCAAGGUUCCUAAGAAGACAUUAGAGAAGUAAAGAGAAAUACAGUAUGCAGUUUAAUGCUAUGGGGAGCAAACAUGUUAAUUUUUAGGCAUUAACAGUAUUAACUGUUGUCACUUUUGCCAACCCUUCUGGCAUUUGGGACAUGUGAAUCGAAUCUAAUUACAGAGUGACUGAAGCUGCUGAUACUGUGUGAGAAAGUCUUGUUUAAAAACAUUCUUGAUGUCUGGUAAAAUGUACAUUUUUCAAAACAAAAUCAAUGGAGGUCUAUUCCCAUAAAGAGAUGUGAGGACCACAGUUGACUCACAUAUGAGCUUGAUUUUCCUUUGGCAUAUCUUAUUUCCACAAACGGGCAAUGUCAUUGAUUUGAAAACCACCCUUCUGCAUGUCCUUCCCUGUUCCCAAGGGCCUGAUAGGAAUAGCAGAACUUCUCGGAUGUGGUAAGAACUCCAAAAAAAGGCUCUGCUACAUCUUGAGGAAUAUUACUCUGGAAUUUGGGACUGUCUGGAAAGUUGCUGCAGCCCCAGUAAAUGUUGAGAUAUUAACUAUAAUUUAUUCCACCUGUUUUGCUGAGGAUUAUGUUAACUUUGGCUAAUUGUUGAGGAGAAUAUUUUGAAUUUUGUUGCAUGCGUGGCAAAAUAAUUUUUGAGACAUUGGUUUUUUGUUUGUUUUUAAUGUAAGAAUUCCAUCUUAUUUCCAAGCAGUUGGCCGCUUUGGGGGGGGGUUUUCUACGACGUAGGAAGUGGUAGCAGGGUUGCACCGCUAUGUUGGAAGCAGGGUGAUGGCCGUGGAAACAGGAAGGCAGAAUAGACAGUCUGGACCAAUUUUUGUCUAUGGCUCUUGGCUUUUGCCUUGUUUUCUUAAAGCUGGUCUUAGGGUUACAUUUGCUCCUUCCUUUGGCAUGCUUCCUCCUUGGGCUCAUCCUUCUAUGGAUUUUUAAAGUGAUAAGAGAACAACCAUUAAAAAUAGGUGCAUGCAGGAACAGGGCUGAGGUGGUACCCUGAGUUAUUUUAGCUUAAGUGUUGUGGAACAAAGCAUUAAAGUCAUGCAAUGUAAUUCUGUGUGUCCUUGUGUUUUGUGUGCGUGACUCCCCGAAGGUCCGUUGGGAGGUGGCUGUAGAUACUAUAAUAACGGGUUGGGACUAGGAUUCAGAAUCCUGGUCAUCCCUGUCUGUGUUCAUCAUGGAGCGUGAAAAGUGCACCCUCCUAUCCCCUCUCCCACAGCGACCAUCGAGAUGGCAGACAAACCAACAACCACAAACAGACCAAACCCCAGAAAACACAACUAAGGCUGCAGUCAGUGAUUGAUGUCUGCUACAAGUUCCAACCAGGUCAGAAUUAUUUCUCAGCAGAGCUUCGGACUUGCCUGGGUUUCUGAUUCUGAACUUACCUAGCCUACUGUGGUCUACCUAUUAGUUACCUUAUCCAGCAUCACGUGACCAUUUAAUUACCUCUCCGGUUGUUUCCAGGGACUCUGUUCACUGUGGUGCCUACUCAUAGAAGGUAAGGCUUAACUUAGGAGUAAUCCAGACCCCACUGCAUAGAAUACAAUCCCUGUUAAGGUGUAAAGGACUGAUUUUAUAUUGUGUUUCUGCACACACACACAUAUAUAUCAUGGUACACUUACUUAUAAUGAUAUUAUAUUAUAUUUCUGGCAGUUGCACCUAAAAGGGGGGGAAAGAGAGAUUCGAGUCAAGGGAUAAUGGGGAGAAGAUGGUAGAGAGCAUGCUUUCGCUGGCGGGGGAGAGGGGUGAAGGGUGUUAAAGCCACAUCUGUCCUGAUUCAUGCUGCUGCUUCCCUCCAGCCCUGCCUGGCAUGACUCGGGACUGGCUAAAUCAUUUAUUCAUUUUCAUCAAGUGUCCUGGUAUUAAUGACUGUGCCCAUGUCCCAGCUUACACUUUUAUUCCAAACUGCCCCAGUUUCUAUCCUUUAGCUCAUGUUGAAACAUAUUUGGUCUUUACAACCUGAGGUAGAUCUUCCCACUGAGGUUAAUUCUUUACUACUGCUGGCUAGGUAUUUAGAUCUAGAAAGAGAGAGAGGUUAGCAAUGAGAUCCUGCUGGGGAGCACUGGGAACUGUGUCUAGUCACUUAUGGUGGAGCAUGAUACUGUGAGAAAAAACACUAUAUACAUGUAUGUGUAACUGGGUCACCAUGUUGUACAGUGGAAAGAAAAUAAUGUAUUGGGGAAAUUAAAAAAAAAUAGAGAUAGAGAUAUCCCUUGCUUCUAAAUGGACUUUAGAUACUAAAGGUAAAUCUGUGACAGAACUCAGCUCCUCAUGGAAUAUGCCUUUAGUGGCAGAAUUUGGGAGGUGUCUUUUCUGGCUGCUGGUGUAGAGGGCUUGCCGUUUGUCAGCUGUCCAAAGACGGACACCUUAAUGCAGCUCACUUAAGAGUGAUGUGUGAAUCACAGGGACGAACUAUUAUUAACUGACAGGGGUUAAGACGGUAAAUUUUAUGUUAUGCGUGUUUUGCCACAAUUAAAUAGUCCCCGAUCACACAGCUUUUUUCCCCCCAGUUGCAUAUCAAGGUAAGGACACUUGCUGUCCUCCUUCAGAGCUGUUCCCACUGACCCUAAUGCCAGUUCUUGCCCUCUCUCUCCUUUCAUAUCAAUUUCCCAUCCAUGGUCCUCAGCUCAUGAAGUCCUGCAUCUCCAAGGGCCCAAGUUCUCUUUCUAGGGGUUGGAAGACAGAGUGGGUGGAAGCUGAAAGAGAGACAAAAAGAGAUACGUGUUCCCGGUGUUACACAGCAGGAUCUCAUUGCUUUUCCACUCCAAAUGCAGCACUUUGCAUCUAUUAACCUCAGAUUCCCAGUCCAUUAACCCCAGAUUUCCAGCCCAUCCCACUCCCUCCCUCUUCCUGUGAUGAAGCAUGAUAAUGGGAGAAAAAGAAUGUGUCUAUGUGUGUGUGACGGGGUCACUUUGCUGUACAGCAGAAAAUUAACAGAACACUGUAAACCAGCUAUAGUGGAAAAAAAAUCAUUUUAAAAAAAGAAAAAAAAAAGAGACAUACAUGUUGUGGAAAUAGGUACCUUCAAAGUCCCUUUCCAGUCUUGGUCCUACUUUCUCACUCUUUCUCAGUAAGGGGAUCUCAGUGAUGAGUUUUGAGUGGAAACAUUGGCAUCAAAGUCCUGGGUGAAACUGUACCAUCCUCCUACUUAAGCCCGAACUGCCUAGGCUUGGGAGAAGAUACUGGUGGGUACAUUAAAACUCGGGGCGAGUCAGCGAGAUAACCUUUAAAGUUCUUUCAACCUCUGAGCCUCUAUUAUUCCCUCCAAUAUACUUAUCUUUUAUUAUUAUAAACAUAGGCUUUUGUGACAUGUUCACUCUAGAUGCCUCUGCUGACAUUUUUUUUUCUAAAUGUCAUACUCUGUAUUAUCAAUUAUGUAUGAAGUUCAUAUUAUUUAUAUGUUGGAAAAUUUAUCCAGAGUAAGACGGUUUUGAAUAUUUUUGAGAUUUUGGAGCAUGAUUUAUGUAAAUACCAAACAGCAUUGGCUAUGGCGCCUUCCCUUUUCUGCACGAUUUUCUGAUUCUAAAAGUGAGAGACCAUUGCUUGUAUUUCACAGUGAAUGAAGUCUGAGUUUUGGUAUCAGUAAGCCAUUUAGGGACAAACAGCUCUUCCCCCAAAUUUUCCUUUUUUUUUAAACACCUUAAUUUAUUAGUAAAGCUCAUACUGGAUGAGCUUUCCCCUGAUUUACUGCAUAAAACUAAGUGGGACAUUCACACUGAGCCCAGAGACCACAGCAGCCUCUGGUGUCUGUGGAUGGAGAUGAUUUCCUGGAGACGAAGAUGUCCUCAUGAGUAUUGUCAAUUCUUCAUUUCCUUCCCUGGCAAAAAAAAAAAAAAA
rnacentral:lncRNA from 1 species